GGCAAACAGUCUUUUCAUGCCCUUUUUCCUCUGGUUAUCCAUGCAGAUGCCAUAGCAGGAUCAGAAAAUUAACGUUGGAGGCGUUGGAAUGCCAGUAGUGAUCCUUGGUGACCCAGCCUACCCCUUGUUCCCAAGGCUCAUGAAGUUGCACGUGGGCAGCCUGGACCGCAGUAAGGAGCAGUUAAACUAUAGGCAGGACCAGAGAUAAGGAAGGCAAGAGAUGGACAAAGACUGCAGCAAGGAAGCAAAGAAAAAAUGUGGAAGGCAAGUCUCCUUUCGUCACCAAGCCAUUUGUCUAAACUACCUGGCAACUUUUGUGUUUUGAGAACUGUAUGUUUGUGAUAUUUUCCUGUUAGAGAAAAUAGAGGAAUAUAAAUAUUGCGUAGGGCUUCCGAAGUCUAUGUUGCAGUUAUUCGGGAGGUGGUUGGGAUUUACUGCUGAGGUGUCUUUACAGAUCUCUGGCUCCGUUGAUGAUGAUAACCAGAAGGCUGCUUGCGUGUGUGCUCAAUGAUGUGUGCUGUGUCGACUUGUGCGCUUAGU